CUUCGAGAGGGGCAAUCUCGACAUCUUCAGCGGCCAGGGACCCUGCCUGUCUUUGACGCCAUGCUCCAUCAAUGUCACCUCCGACGGCACCGGGGCAUACCAUGGUUGGUACUGCAACUACAUCGAACUCACAGUGACGGGUCCGCAUCUCCCUUGUGAUCAGCAGCUGUUUACGAUUGACCAGUGGCUAGCUACUGAUGCGUCGCCGUACAAGCUGUUUGCCGCGGUAGAUGUCUGCCCUCCCGCUGAGGACAUCGCUGUCGCCGGAGCUGGAGGUGGAGGCCAUGGCCGGCGUGGUCUGCCCGACCAUGAAGCGUGAUGAGCUGGCGGUUCAGUUAUGUUGUUGGGUCCGGUGAAUGUGGUCGUGUAGCAUCAAUUUAGCUGGAGGUGUCUUCUUAUUAUUAUCGAAUCGCAUCAAUUUA
rnacentral:misc_RNA from 1 species